rnacentral:lncRNA from 1 species
GGGUCACUAAAUAUUUGUAAUCUUGUUAGCAUAAUUUUUUUCUCACGUAUUCUUCUUUUAUUUAUAAAAAUUAGUAGUUAUCUAUAAAUAUUUUUUAUGAUGAAAAUAAUAGCAUCACAAAUAUCUUACGGUCACUAAAAUUCUUAAUUUUUAUGAUGAAAUAUAUUGGAUUAUUGAUUAUUCAUGUUUUUGGUUAUUUAAAUUUCUCA